AAGGAUCAUUACAGAGUUCAUGCCCUUCGGGGUAGACCUCCCACCCUUGAAUAUAUACCUUUGUUGCUUUGGCGGGCCGCUUCGGCUACUGGCUUCGGCUAGUGAGUGCCUGCCAGAGGACCCAAAAUUCUGAAUUAUAGUGUCGUCUGAGUACUAUAUAAUAGUUAAAACUUUCAACAACGGAUCUCUUGGUUCUG
rnacentral:misc_RNA from 1 species